AUGAAUUCUAAUUUUCGCGUUACUCAUCCAUUUGCAGACGAGAAUAGCAGGUUAUGCGUCUCCGUGAGAGACUACUACUGUUACAGGCUGCAGACACGGCCUGCAAUAUUCAAUCCCAUACUAUGUGGAGCAUGAUUGCUCUAGCAAUGGGGGGUCGACAUGUACAUCAAGAUUGAGAGUUGUAGGUUAAAAUGGUACAGAAAGAACCAGAUGAAGAUCCGUGCUGACCUAUAUAAAGGUGUUGUUGAUGCGAUCACAUCCGGGGAGACACGAGCAAGCGCUGUUGGAGUAAGGAUAGUG
rnacentral:rRNA from 1 species